rnacentral:misc_RNA from 1 species
CAUGGCUUGUGUCAAUGGGCCGACUGUCAUCUUAGAAACGUCUUUCUUGCCAAGAGCCAUAAAUAAUGCCGCCAAACUCUGAAAAGGAGAAUCCACACACCCUCCCCUACAAGGUGAUGAAUAUUAUGAAUCUGCAAAUUGAAUAUUUAAUGACUCAAGUUUACCUAUAUAUUUCAUCUAAUAGAUGAAGCGCAGCCUCUCUGCCAAGAUCUUCUGGUACGCAAGGAUAUCAAUUCAUAUUAUGGAAAACAUAAUAAACGUACCAGGAGAUUUCCCGCUAGAUGCACCACGGGUCUGAUCCGUGUGAAUGUAAACGUCUGGCAAGAAUUUAAGCAGAACUCCUUUGGCAGAUUCAACCAUUCUGUUAGCAAUUGCUGGGGAAACACGAAUGGAACAUGCCACUCCCCUAACUCGUUUAACCAUUCCACAAUCCUGGAGC